CAAAAUUUUACAUCACACAUGCAGAUCUAGCGGAAAUAAUAUCAGGUGACAAGUGUUUAAACAUAGCGAUACUACAAUUGUGGACCAUAUUUAUGAAUGAGUGCGGUAGAAGCAAAGCUGAUCAGUCACUAUAUGGUUUGCUAGAGCCUCAAUCUAUACAAAAUGCUAAGGAAAGACGUCAACAAUGCCAACAAUACAUUGAAACAUGGGUCAAGGAAUCACAAAGGCAGUUGUAUUUAGGAGCUUACUUGCAUCAGGCACAUUGGCAACUAUUUGUUCUCCACCCAAGGGAAAACACGGUCGUUUGGUUUUGUUCUCUGAGGAAGAAGC